GUGGGGAAUCUUAGACAAUGGGGGAAACCCUGAUCUAGCCAUGCCGCGUGAGCGAUGAAGGCCUUAGGGUUGUAAAGCUCUUUCAGCUGGGAAGAUAAUGACUGUACCAGCAGAAGAAGCCCCGGCUAACUCCGUGCCAGCAGCCGCGGUAAUACGGAGGGGGCUAGCGUUGUUCGGAAUUACUGGGCGUAAAGCGCACGUAGGCGGACCGGAAAGUCAGAGGUGAAAUCCCAGGGCUCAACCUUGGAACUGCCUUUGAAACUCCUGGUCUUGAGGUCGAGAGAGGUGAGUGGAAUUCCGAGUGUAGAGGUGAAAUUCGUAGAUAUUCGGAGGAACACCAGUGGCGAAGGCGGCUCACUGGCUCGAUACUGACGCUGAGGUGCGAAAGCGUGGGGAGCAAACAGGAUUAGAUACCCCAGUAGUCC
rnacentral:rRNA from 1 species